CCUACGGGAGGCAGCAGUAGGGAAUCUUCCACAAUGGGCGAAAGCCUGAUGGAGCAACGCCGCGUGAGCGAAGAAGGUCUUCGGAUGGUAAAGCUCUGUUGUAAGGGAAGAACAAGAGCAGUAGUAACUGGCUGCACCCUGACGGUACCUUACGAGAAAGCCACGGCUAACUACGU
rnacentral:rRNA from 1 species